rnacentral:tRNA from 1 species
GGAGAGGUGGAUGAGUGGUUUAAGUCGCACGCCUGGAAAGCGUGUUUGGGGUCAUUCCCAACGGGGGUUCGAAUCCCCCUCUCUCCGCCA